rnacentral:misc_RNA from 1 species
AACCCCACAACUGAUUC